ACUCCUACGGGAGGCAGCAGUGGGGAAUAUUGGACAAUGGGGGCAGCCCUGAUCCAGCGAUGCCGCGUGUGUGAAGAAGGCCUAAGGGUUGUAAAGCACUUUCGGUGGGGAGGAGGACUAUUAGGUUAAGAGCUAGAUAGUUGGACGUUACCCACAUAAGAAGCACCGGCUAACUCCGUGCCAGCAGCCGCGGUAAUACGAAGGGUGCAAGCGUUACU
rnacentral:rRNA from 1 species